CAUAACCAGGCGUUAUGUGGUACAGCAUACGGUGUAAAUUCAGGUUUUUUCGACCGGACUUCGAAGGCUUGGCUGCCCGCUGCUUAGAAAAUGAGGACAGUGCUCUACCACAGAGCUUCAUAGCAAAUGGAAAAAACCAAGUAAGAGUUAGACCCACCGGUACAAUAGGAAUGAUGAGAGCGAUCCAAAAGCAGAAUCAUUAAACUGCAUCAGGCUCACUAAUUGACUCCCCCACAUUAACAGUGAGCAGCCCUCUGGCCAAGUGGGGACUCAUUCAAUAGCCUUUAUCUUUGCAUCGCUCAUCCAGUCAAUUCAUUAAAGCCUGUUGCUCUCACAGGGUGCCUUUGGAUGAGUUUGUUUCGUUUCUUGGGCUCCUUGGCUCACAGAUCUCUUUCACAAUGUCCCUGGUUUCUAAAUGCUCCGUAAGUACCAGCUGAGCUGUGAUGAACCUUUGCAGCCACUGCUUUCACAAGCCUGUCUCUGAGCAAGUCAAAGCAGCAGAGAAAGAUGGGACAGGAGAUAGGGGGGAAGAAAGGGGCAGAGGGAUCUCCGCCUGGUGCCUGCGUUCCCAGACAGAGCCAGCAGGCGGUAGCAACGCUUCAGGGAAGGCCCCAGCCCGGCAGGCGGACCAAACAAUAGACCCCCAGUCCAGCGGUGGGCUGGAAAGGAGCUCACGCCCACCUCAGUGCAAACCUGAGCAGGAGUCCCACUGUUUCAGUUCCCAGAGUUAAAGCCCAGAAGGUGACGAGGCGCCUGCUGUGAGUCCGCCUCUGCCCUGCCGGCCUGGACAG
rnacentral:lncRNA from 1 species